rnacentral:lncRNA from 1 species
CUUUGCAUUAUAAAGUUCUGAUAAACAUAAUUUCCCCCAAAAAAAAAAAUAAUAAAUAAAUAAAUUCGAGCAAAAAUAAUUCUAAUGGACAAAGGUAAGUAUAUUUGCCCAAUUUACAAUAAUUCAUUGAGGUUCUUUUUAAAGUGUUCAAGAUUCCUAUUGUUGAGCUUUUUUUCCUUAGAGAUCGAAAUUUCUGCCAUCUUUAUAGGCCAGUCAAAUUUAUUAUUAUUCGAGAAUUUGCAGUUGGAUCCAUAGAAGUUUUCCGAAAAGGAAGAAGUUUCCUCAGCAAUUUAGAGUUCUCAGUUUUAAUUGGCAAAUGAGCAGGAACAGGGCUACUUUGAGAUCAUUGGGCAUAUGACAAAGUAGCAACCGGAAGAGGAAGGAAGCUAACAGAACAAGGAUAUUCAGCAGAUGAAGAAAAGCUCGUAGAGACCACUGCUGCAUGCAAAAUUAUUGUUUAAUUUUUAUCUACAAGGAAGAACAUUCUUCUUGAAGAGGUUUAUAUCAAAAUUUUGUAUCACAUCAGAAUUUAUAACAUUGUUAAGAAUAAGUGGACUGUGCAAGGUCUGACUGAUACCAGAGAAAGGGAAAAUUAAGUGACGAAAAAAAGAAAAAAUUCAAUUUCCACAUAAUCUAUGGAUAGUAGAGUUACAAUUAUCAUGGAAUAUAAGCUCAUUCUCUCAAAAACUCACCCGAUUUUCCACUAUUAAUAUGGAACACGAACACGAUCAUUGUGCUUAACUCUACAAAAUUAAAGAAGAUAUGUUUGUUUCGUUGUACUAAUUUACAAGUUGAUGCAGCACAAUCUUAGUUUGGUCAUUUCAAGCAAUAGAAAUUUCAGUCUUCGAAACUGAUUUAUAGCCAACUAGCAUCCACCAACUUCAAACAGCUUUAGAACAAUUUUACGUGUCCAAAAUAUAUAUUUCUUCUUGAUUCCGGCAAGAGUAAUGCUAACUUCUUUUUCAUACUUCCAUUUUCUUCAAGGUUCACACAAACUAUCACAAUUAAAAAAGACGGAUACGAAGUCUAUUCAUGGAAGGUGUUAAAGAAUUGAAAAAAGGAGAGAUAGCAACAAGGAAAAGAGAGCAAAAAAAUAACUACAUCUUCAUUCACUCAAACCUUAUUCCAACAUUCCAGUUGUUCCCUAUGGUUUAUCGGAUUCGGAGGCUUGGCAUUAUAUGAUGCAACUGAUGGCAGCACAUAAUUACCAAAGGAAGUUCCCAAUCUGUCAUAGUUGUUUUUUUAACUCACUAAGCCUUAGUACUUCUUACAUCUGGAAUGCUGUGACUAGCCGUAUUCGGUGAUCUCAAAAUCUCUUCAAGAAUUUUUCAUAGCAACUGAUACGUCUCCUAGAGGAGAACGUGAAAGCUUAAUUGAUACAAUAAAACGGAAAUAAGUUAAAAAUCCCAAUCAGGUAGGUACACUUAAUUCACUGAUUUACUUUUAAGUGGGCUUCAGAUUUCUAAGUUCUCUCAGCUACAGCAAGCUUGUCCCGCAGUUGCUGAAUCUGAAAAAAUGAAAACCAGUCCUUAAAUAACCCCUUUCAAUUUCAGGAUUCUCUGUAUUUCAAACACACCCGCACCUCUCAAUUUCAGGAUUCUCUGUAUGUCAAACACACCCGCACCUCUCAAUUUCAGGAUUCUCGAAAGGCGACUCAAACCAUUAAAUUCCCACCAAUCACAACAGUAACUAUUAACCGAAAAAAAGCCCAUAUCUAAUGUGUUGAAUCGCUUAAGUUUCAAAUCAGUGAAUUCCCACCUUCUCAUGUCUCCGCUUCUCAAAAAAAUUGGAAUCUACUAAUUGAAAUAAUGAGGUACCAAUCAAAAGAACAACCAAUUGUUAAGCAAUGAGAAACGGCUACAUUGAUUAAAAAAGUAUCAUAUGUACUCAAUCUAACCAAGAAGUAUAAACAUGAACAAAUCAAACAAGGUGGUUUGAUUGUUAAACAAACCUUAAUCGAUACUAUCAAAACCUCGUUGCCGACCUUUUGAAGUGAAUAAUCUGGAGGCGGAUAUGGAAGCAGUGAUUCGUUGGUUGUUUGGUUUCUUCUUCCUGGUUCCGCUGUGAGAGUUAACGAGAGAUGGUAAUGAUUUUAUACAUGCGUAGAGAUGAGAGAGAGAAG